UACGAAGGGGGCUAGCGUUGCUCGGAAUCACUGGGCGUAAAGGGUGCGUAGGCGGGUCUUUAAGUCAGGGGUGAAAUCCUGGAGCUCAACUCCAGAACUGCCUUUGAUACUGAAGAUCUUGAGUUCGGGAGAGGUGAGUGGAACUGCGAGUGUAGAGGUGAAAUUCGUAGAUAUUCGCAAGAACACCAGUGGCGAAGGCGGCUCACUGGCCCGAUACUGACGCUGAGGCACGAAGGCGUGGGGAGCAAACAGG
rnacentral:rRNA from 1 species